rnacentral:rRNA from 1 species
CCUACGGGGGGCAGCAGUGAGGAAUAUUGGUCAAUGGACGAGAGUCUGAACCAGCCAAGUAGCGUGAAGGAUGACUGCCCUAUGGGUUGUAAACUUCUUUUAUAUGGGAAUAAAAUGUUCCACGUGUGGGAUUUUGUAUGUACCAUAUGAAUAAGGAUCGGCUAACUCCGUGCCAGCAGCCGCGGUAAUACGGAGGAUCCGAGCGUUAUCCGGAUUUAUUGGGUUUAAAGGGAGCGUAGGUGGAUUGUUAAGUCAGUUGUGAAAGUUUGCGGCUCAACCGUAAAAUUGCAGUUGAGACUGGCAGUCUUGAGUACAGUAGAGGUGGGCGGAAUUCGUGGUGUAGCGGUGAAAUGCUUAGAUAUCACGAAGAACUCCGAUUGCGAAGGCAGUUCACUGGACUGCAACUGACACUGAGGCUCGAAAGUGUGGGUAUCAAACAGGAUUAGAUACCCUAGUAGUC